UAUUUUCUGUAGACUUAGUUUUUUUUUAAAAAAUUGUUACAGAUAUACUUAAUGGUAUUCUUUUUUACACUGAGGUGUGCUACCGUGCAAUUAUUUUCCCUUGGGUUAAUUGCGUGUCAACAUCCCGGUACUCAAACACAUAAAAGAGUGCAUUUUAGCCUAGAGCCGUGUGAUGCAGCUCGAUUCCUGUAAGAACCGAGGACGAUCCCCGCAUCUCGAAGGAGUUGGUGUGAGUUGCACGAACUCAGCUGACCAAGGACGAAGUUAUUCAAAAAAAAAAAAGAACACUGGCCAAGGGACACGAGAACUCUCCAAUUCCGCCCAUCCAGGCAUGUCAUAGGUAGGAGAGCAUCUUCUAUAUUUUAUUUCUCAAAAUACGUUGCUUGACAACUCUUAAAUUAGUAUAGGAAGGGAAAAAAAGUAAUCUCUAAGAGUUUUCUAUAUUUUUAUAUGGUUUGUAUCAGAAACUCUAAAUUUAUUUUCUAUAUACGUUAUAUACGUUAGUCCUUUUCUCUUUCACUUUUCUCACC
rnacentral:lncRNA from 1 species